rnacentral:rRNA from 1 species
GAUGAACGCUGGCGGCGUGCCUAAUACAUGCAAGUCGAGCGGACGGACGAGAAGCUUGCUUCUCUGCUGUUAGCGGCGGACGGGUGAGUAACACGUGGAUAACCUACCUAUAAGACUGGGAUAACUUCGGGAAACCGGAGCUAAUACCGGAUAAUAUUUUGAACCGCAUGGUUCAAAAGUGAAAGACGGUCUUGCUGUCACUUAUCGAUGGAUCCGCGCUGCCUUUGGUAGUUGGUAAGGUAACGGCUUACCAAGGCAACGAUGCAUAGCCGACCGGGGAGGGGGCCCGCCCAAACGGGAACUGAGACACGGCCCAGACUCCUCGGGGAGGCAGCAGAAGGAAACCUUCGGAAAUGGGCGAAAGCUGGACGGGGCAAGGCGGCGGGGGGGAUGAAGGUCUUCGGUUCGUAAAACCCGGUGAUUGGGGAGAAACAGAUGUGUAAGAAACAGGGCACACCGUGACGGUACCUAAUCAGAAAGCCACGGCUAACUACGUG